rnacentral:lncRNA from 1 species
GACCGGCACCACCGGAGCAUCGCCGCGGGCCGCGGCGGAGGCAGAGGGCGGCACUGGCGCCCGGCGCUGCAGAGCAUCACAGAGUCGUCGUCGUCGUUGGGCGGACACGCCGACUGCGAGGACACAUCUAAAUGAACUACGGAGUAGAAAUGGUAGGGAGGAGCUAGAAAUGUGUGUACAUUUUGCGAGAGGAGCGGCAAGGCAUGGCCACCAGAGUGUUGCCCUUUCGUUGUGGCGAUGGAACAGUGACCGUAUGAACGUGCGUGAAAAACUGAAAAUACAUCCAGAGGCCUCUGUCCUGCUGUCUGACUCCGAAUCCGUUCUAGUGAUGAACAGAGACCUGAACGGUNNNN